AAAUAAACUGUACACUGUCCAGGAGUCUCUGGUUUCUGAGUACCACUAUGAGGAGAGCCUAGAUGAGGAACGAGCAAGAAAUCUUCUUUCUUUUGGAGACGAUUACAGGAAUUACAUCUCCAGCUUGUCCAGCAGCCAGAGCAGUAUUUCAAGCAGAACUCAGAGAAGAAGAAGAAAAAAACAAAGGGGAGCAGUACGCGGUACAGGAUCUGGGUCUGAUACAGAGUACAGCGAGGUGUACAGUGUACUGAACGAGAGUGGGAGAGAGUACAGUACAGUAGAGAGUAGAACAUGUGAACUACAUUGUACUGGAUACCUUCAUCAAACACAGUACAUACAAUAUGCUGAACUAGUAUCUAUAUGUGGAGAGAAUAUUAAUAUGCUGGUAGAACUCAUCCAAUCUAUUAUUAUAGGCUGAACUAGUA